CAAAGGUGCGGUAAGAGCGCACCAGCAGUGUCGUGAGGCACUGGCUCGGUAAACCCCGGCUGGGAGCAAGGUUGGAGGGAUAAUGGUUGGUCUUUUUCCAGUUCCGUUGCGUUCAUAGAUUCAUCUAUGAUGCUAGGCAUACCGCAAGAGGUGUCUGGUAACAGACAUCCCAGAUAGAUAACUGCC
rnacentral:RNase_P_RNA from 2 species